AGUGUCGGACGUGAUCCUUAUUUUCCUUCCUCUUCAAUAUUGUUGUCAGAUUUACAUCAAAGUUAAAAAAGCAAGACGGACCGCCUCUUUUGGUGUCGACACAAGGAUUAAAGUUUUGAGAGCCAAGCUCAAAAUUUUUCAAGAUUGCACUCCCGGCAGAUUCACCGCGAAAAAUGAAAGCACGAAAAGGCCGUGAGAAAAAGGCUGAACUUGAAGAUCUCGGGGACGUUUUAGGGGGUUCAACUUUCGCUCUUGGAGGUCGUCACAAACCUGAAGAAUUGACAAUCCUGGCGGCGACAACAAGGUUCACUCGGAAGGAGAUCCAGCUAAUAUACAGGGGAUUCAAGCAGGAGUGCCCGACUGGACUCGUCGAUGAAGAAGCCUUUAAGAAGAUAUUUUCACAAUUCUUUCCACAGGGCGAUGCGAGUAAGUACGCACACUACGUCUUCAACACCAUUAAAAGGAAACAGUCUGGAAAAAUUAGCUUUGAAGAAUUCCUUUCGAUUCUUUCCAAAGUAUCUCGCGGAUCUGUGGAGGAAAAACUUCAGUGGGUGUUCGGACUAUACGACCUAGAUGGUGACGGAAUGAUAAGUAAAGAAGAGAUGCUAGAUGUCGUGGGCUCGAUUUACGACAUGCUCGGACGUUACACACAGCCCCAAAUAGCUGAAACAAAAACGGCGGCACGCGAGCAUGUUAAUCGGAUAUUUCAUCAAAUGGAUGCGAAUCAAGACGGGUUCGUUACGAUCGAGGAACUGGUACAGUGGUGCUCCAAGGAUGAACAUCUACUACAAAGCUUGGAUACACUUGAUACGGUUUUGUGAGGUCCAAACUCGUUCUCGUAAAUUAUAUUCGUACUCUGAUUUUCAUUUCCCUUGAUCGAAUAUAUAUAUUAUUCGGCGUUAAAAGAAUGUUUACGAAUGCGAGCUGUAACUUAUAAUCAAUCAGGAGGUUAGGAAAACUCCGUGAAGGUGGAAGAGUAUCAAAAUUCAAUAGUCAAAAAUCGACAUCUACCAGAAUAUCUGAAUAAGUUGGCCAGCAAAUCUGGUUAUAUUGACCAGAACGUGUUAUUCUUAAGCUACUAGAAAACUGUCUAGUAAAUAUUUCUGGUUAACCUUACCAGAAAUUCUGGUUACAUUUCCCGAAUUUCUAGUAACAUUAACCAGAAAAUUCUCAACCAGAAACUUCUGAUACUUUUAACCCGAAUUUAUAGUAAGGGCAUAUUUAACACUCUAUUCUAGUUGAAUUAACCAGAAUUGUGGUUGAUUCAAACAGAUUUUUUUUUUAGUGUGAUAAAGUGAGGUCGGUAAUAUAGUUAUUUGGUUGUAUCACAUUCCCUUAAGAAAAAAAUCCUUUCUUGUACUACCCUAAUGUAGGCUAUGGCUAUAUAUGUUCCAUUUUUCAAAGAAAUCUCUCGUUAAAAGAAUGUCUUUCUUCGCUUCAAUGAUAAACAUUCAAAAGCCUUUUAGCACUGUUUUGAAGAUAAGAGUAAUAAAAUUAUAUUCAUUGUCAUUAUGUAUGUAUAUCUUCACUUAGGAUAAUUUAAAAUAUAUUUCAAGUCUCCUGCAUGAUAACACACAUACAUAUAAAUGAUUUGACAUUAAGUGUAUAUGUAUUAAAACUUUAUGAGAUUCUAAUUCACUAUUUUAACGUAUACUCUAAUAGCACCGAACGUUCCAGGCACGUGCGUGGAACGUCCGUAGGCAAUUUGGGAACGUUCCAGCCACGUCCUCAGAACAUUACCAUUUCUGGCCCUUUGGAACAUUCCAGAAGCACCCCACUGGGACGUUAAAAAAUGCAAUAAUGACUUACCGUGAUUAUUAUUAUUAUUAUUUACAACAACUAUCUCUUUUACCAUAAAAG